CACGGGGGCAACCCUGGUGGCGAGUGGCGAACGGGUGAGUAAUAUAUCGGAACGUACCCAAGAGUGGGGGAUAACGUAGCGAAAGUUACGCUAAUACCGCAUACGAUCUAAGGAUGAAAGUGGGGGAUCGCAAGACCUCAUGCUCCUGGAGCGGCCGAUAUCUGAUUAGCUAGUUGGUGAGGUAAAGGCUCACCAAGGCUACGAUCAGUAGCUGGUCUGAGAGGACGACCAGCCACACUGGAACUGAGACACGGUCCAGACUCCUACGGGAGGCAGCAGUGGGGAAUUUUGGACAAUGGGCGCAAGCCUGAUCCAGCAAUGCCGCGUGAGUGAAGAAGGCCUUCGGGUUGUAAAGCUCUUUUGUCAGGGAAGAAACGGUAGAGGCUAAUAUCCUUUGCUAAUGACGGUACCUGAAGAAUAAGCACCGGCUAACUACGUGCCAGCAGCCGCGGUAAUACGUAGGGUGCAAGCGUUAAUCGGAAUUACUGGGCGUAAAGCGUGCGCAGGCGGUUUUGUAAGUCUGUCGUGAAAGCCCCGGGCUCAACCUGGGAAUUGCGAUGGAGACUGCAAGGCUUGAAUCUGGCAGAGGGGGGUAGAAUUCCACGUGUAGCAGUGAAAUGCGUAGAGAUGUGGAGGAACACCGAUGGCGAAGGCAGCCCCCUGGGUCAAGAUUGACGCUCAUGCACGAAAGCGUGGGGAGCAAACAGGAUUAGAUACCCUGGUAGUCCACGCCCUAAACGAUGUCUACUAGUUGUCGGGUUUUAAUUAACUUGGUAACGCANCUAACGCGUGAAGUAGACCGCCUGGGGAGUACGGUCGCAAG
rnacentral:rRNA from 1 species